ACGAACGCUGGCGGCGUGCCUAAUACAUGCAAGUAGAACGCUGAAGAGAGGAGCUUGCUCUUCUUGGAUGAGUUGCGAACGGGUGAGUAACGCGUAGGUAACCUGCCUUGUAGCGGGGGAUAACUAUUGGAAACGAUAGCUAAUACCGCAUAACAAUGGAUGACACAUGUCAUUUAUUUGAAAGGGGCAAUUGUUCCACUACAAGAUGGACCUGCGUUGUAUUAGCUAGUAGGUGAGGUAAUGGCUCACCUAGGCGACGAUACAUAGCCGACCUGAGAGGGUGAUCGGCCACACUGGGACUGAGACACGGCCCAGACUCCUACGGGAGGCAGCAGUAGGGAAUCUUCGGCAAUGGGGGCAACCCUGACCGAGCAACGCCGCGUGAGUGAAGAAGGUUUUCGGAUCGUAAAGCUCUGUUGUAAGUCAAGAACGGGUGUGAGAGUGGAAAGUUCACACUGUGACGGUAGCUUACCAGAAAGGGACGGCUAACUACGUGCCAGCAGCCGCGGUAAUACGUAGGUCCCGAGCGUUGUCCGGAUUUAUUAGGCGUAAAGCGAGCGCAGGCGGUUUGAUAAGUCUGAAGUUAAAGGCUGUGGCUCAACCAUAGUUCGCUUUGGAAACUGUCAAACUUGAGUGCAGAAGGGGAGAGUGGAAUUCCAUGUGUAGCGGUGAAAUGCGUAGAUAUAUGGAGGAACACCGGUGGCGAAAGCGGCUCUCUGGUCUGUAACUGACGCUGAGGCUCGAAAGCGUGGGGAGCGAACAGGAUUAGAUACCCUGGUAGUCCACGCCGUAAACGAUGAGUGCUAGGUGUUGGAUCCUUUCCGGGAUUCAGUGCCGCGGCUAACGCAUUAAGCACUCCGCCUGGGGAGUACGACCGCAAGGUUGAAACUCAAAGGAAUUGACGGGGGCCCGCACAAGCGGUGGAGCAUGUGGUUUAAUUCGAAGCAACGCGAAGAACCUUACCAGGUCUUGACAUCCCGAUGCUAUUUCUAGAGAUAGAAAGUUACUUCGGUACAUCGGUGACAGGUGGUGCAUGGUUGUCGUCAGCUCGUGUCGUGAGAUGUUGGGUUAAGUCCCGCAACGAGCGCAACCCCUAUUGUUAGUUGCCAUCAUUCAGUUGGGCACUCUAGCGAGACUGCCGGUAAUAAACCGGAGGAAGGUGGGGAUGACGUCAAAUCAUCAUGCCCCUUAUGACCUGGGCUACACACGUGCUACAAUGGUUGGUACAACGAGUUGCGAGUCGGUGACGGCGAGCUAAUCUCUUAAAGCCAAUCUCAGUUCGGAUUGUAGGCUGCAACUCGCCUACAUGAAGUCGGAAUCGCUAGUAAUCGCGGAUCAGCACGCCGCGGUGAAUACGUUCCCGGGCCUUGUACACACCGCCCGUCACACCACGAGAGUUUGUAACACCCGAAGUCGGUGAGGUAACCUUUUGGAGCCAGCCGCCUAAGGUGGGACAGAUGAUUGGGGUG
rnacentral:rRNA from 1 species